rnacentral:pre_miRNA from 1 species
AGCCUUCUGUAUCCGUGCUGAAAUUUCGUCACAUCAGGCUACAAGAGCUGAUGAGACUCAAGAUAAGUGAAGCG